CCACCGCUGUUUUCGCAGACUUCGUCGUCGCUAGAUAUUACUCUAGUGUUCGGUUAGUUGAACGCAACCGAAACUUCGGAAACCAACGAAGAUUCGAUUUCGCAGUCAAAGGAAGGACCUUGCAUGGUGGCAUUCACGUCUGAACAGUUCGACCCGCAGGAAUAUUGAAAAUCGGGUGGAUAUUUCACACCUCCCGUAGUCGAUACUCUUUUAUCUCGUCGGGGACCAAAGAACCUUGGUAGAUGAUCCAUCAUCGGGGCCUCUUAGAUGGUUGUUUCACUCUCAUUACGAUUGACGGAUGAUGAAAGCUCGAUGGACCUACUGCCCGCGGAACAUACACUGGAUCUGGAUGAAAUGGAGGUAUAACAGGUACUGUUGCAGGUACAGCAGGAACUUGUGGGCGCACUUCCGGAACACGUACCAGAAAUGGAAGUUUACGCGGUAUCUAUUUUUCUCUCCUUCGCAUUAUGCUAUAUCAAACAAUUUAUUUAAAUUAUAUAUUCAAAAUAUUAACUAAACAAUAAUUAAGUAAUGCAUUUAAAAAUAUUAGAUUAAUAAACUAAAAUGAUAAUUGAAAUCAGAAAUUACGUACUUCGAAUUUUUGGUGAAAUGAAGAUCAAGUUUCCCUUGUAUAAGCUUGUUUAGCACCAAAACCUGUGAGUUUGGAAUAAACUAUAUUAAAUUACAGUUUGAAUUUAUUAGCAAAUAAUCGAAUUAAUUGUUUCAAAUUUUUUAAAUUUUUUCCAUAACCAUUUUCCUUUUAAUGAUAAUUGAAAUCAAAUCCUGUUUACAGAAAAAUUAGAUAAAUACUCACAAAAAACAUGUUAAAUAACUUUAUUUUAAAUUAGAAAAAAUUAAAUAACUUAUAAAACAACUAGUGAUUUUUUUUUUAAUUAUAAAAAUAUCAAUUCCUAAUAUAAAAAGUCUAAUUUCAUAACUAAACAAUUAUAUCUUAUUAAAUUAUUGAAAAUAAUUAUACUAAAUAAUAUUUAUAUCUUAAUAGGUUAGAAAAAUUUACAGUUAAGCCCAAAACCUUAAAAUUAUAGUUGUACCCAAGUUGUAAAUAUACUCAAAACCUUAAAAUUAAACCUAAAACACAAAACCCAAAUUGUGUUUCCAACCUAAAACUCUACUCCCGAUUCCAACUAUUUUUCCUCUGGCGAGCGGCGAUUCCAACUUCCGGCGAGCGGCGAACGUAGAGCACCUCUAGUCCAGUUCGUCAAGGUCGAGACUUCCAUCCGGCGAGUGGCGUCGACUUGUGGCUACACCUUCAGUUCAAUCCGGCAAGGUUAGGCUUCCAUCCGUCGAACGUCGACUACCAUCUUUGAAACUAUUUGAAACUUAGGUUAGACUCCACAACCCAUCUUUGUUAUUGUUUAAUCAAUAUCGAUUUAGGUUUUUCAUUUCACUGUUUUUCCAUUUCAAAUCUCUUUGGGUUUUCCAUUUUCCUAAAUUAAAAUCUCACCUAUUUUCCCCAAUACAUGUUGUAAUUGAGGGAGGUUUUAAUGAUGGGGGAGAUGCUUCCAUAGGAUACGUACCAAUACCUCCUACUGAUUGUAUCCACAUUGCUGCAACGAAAACCAAGCCAUCUGUUGUUCCUGAAUGACGGGAAUCUCGAUCCAAAAUCACCGAUCUUUGAUCACGGCAAAUAAAAUAUUAGCCACUGAUUUACGCCGUGGCCUUUUAUUCCACAAAAAAAUUAGCCACGGCAAAAAAAAACCUACUGAAUUACACCUAGAGGAAUUUUACUAUAUUCUAUUCUAUUGGUAAAAGGUAUUUUUCUCAUUUUAUUUAGGUGACAAUCAAUACAUGUAUGUUUAUU
rnacentral:lncRNA from 1 species